GGAUCGUUAGCUCAAUGGUAGAGCGUUCGGCUGCAAACCGAUGUGUGCGCGUUCAAUUCUCGCACGAUCCU
rnacentral:tRNA from 1 species